GGCGGUUAUAGCAUACAGAAAUCACCUCUUCCCAUUCCGAACAGAGAAGUUAAGGCUGUAUGCGCUGAUGAUACUGCAAUAGCCGGAGAGUAGGUUGCUGCC
rnacentral:rRNA from 1 species